UGGGGAAUUUUGGACAAUGGGGGAAACCCUGAUCCAGCCAUCCCGCGUGUGCGAUGAAGGCCUUCGGGUUGUAAAGCACUUUUGGCAGGAAAGAAACGUCAUGGGUUAAUACCCCGUGAAACUGACGGUACCUGCAGAAUAAGCACCGGCUAACUACGUGCCAGCAGCCGCGGUAAUACGUAGGGUGCAAGCGUUAAUCGGAAUUACUGGGCGUAAAGCGUGCGCAGGCGGUUCGGAAAGAAAGAUGUGAAAUCCCAGAGCUCAACUUUGGAACUGCAUUUUUAACUACCGGGCUAGAGUGUGUCAGAGGGAGGUGGAAUUCCGCGUGUAGCAGUGAAAUGCGUAGAUAUGCGGAGGAACACCGAUGGCGAAGGCAGCCACAUGGGAUAACACUGACGCUCAUGAACGAAAGCGUGGGGAGCAAACAGG
rnacentral:rRNA from 1 species